rnacentral:lncRNA from 1 species
GAAGCAUCAGACACUGGGGGGCGCUUCUUGAACAGGCACUGGGCUAGACAGCCCAGACCUCGCGGAAACAAAGCGGGAAGGGGCCGCUCCUGGGGAGUUUUUCCCAGCUUCCCUGGGCCGGUGAGGGGUCCUGGCGUCCUGAACUGGAGAUGCUCCUUAGAGGGCACUGCUUCAGCCACCCCUGCCUUAGCAUACAUACGGGUCCCACAGGGGUCCUUCGACACCAGCUCAUCGUCUGGGUUCCACCAUCCACCCACGCACUCAUUUGGCAGCUAUCAACGGAGUAUUCACAGUACGCUGCUCACAGUUCUAACCGCGGAGGAUAGAGUUGAGGCCCACACGACAGCCCCUGCUCUCACAGAACUGAUGUCUCUAGAAGAGUCUUCCCUCAGUGAGAACGUUCUGAUUUCUAGAACAUUCUUUCUUCUGAUGAGUGAACAGCCUCACCGGAACUUCCCCAUCCUCCUGGCUUGGUUCCUGAAGUGGCCCAAGGCUGCCUUCUCCCUCCCGUGGGUGAACAGGGUCACUGCUUCCUCUCUUGUCCAGGCCCCCUGGCCUGACCCUGAGUCCCGGGCGUAACGGCGUUGUUGAACCACCACAACCCCAGGCGGCGCCUUCCUCUUGGCCCAGGGGCUCUCUUGGGGACAGUGUGCAGUACUCCCCAAGGGGGCUUUGCUGUGCAAAAGCAGCCCCUGCCGAUGCUGCGGCUCCCGUGGAUGGAGCACUGCCGUGGGAACAGAGUUGGAACUCAUCCAAAAGAAUAAAAGACAACUGUGUUGGAAGAUUGCCAAGGUUUGUAGCUGUGCCACCGCAGACUUCAGAGAUGAACACUGCCUUGGAGACGAGGAGGAUUCAAGUUGCAGAAGCAUUUAGGUGCUGCGUGAACCCCAGCAGGGCCAUUCCAGAUGCU